rnacentral:lncRNA from 1 species
CGGAGGGUCAAUGAGGUUCAAUCAAGAAUGCAAGCGAGGAAAGGGGCUCUUGAGAGCCGCCCGUAUCCUUUUAUCAACUCUAUUAAUGUGUGCUCUUGGUUUACUUUUGAUGAUUUGAAAUGAAAAGCUUUAUGCUUAUAUGAACUUGGUUGCUUGAGUGAUAGUAUCUCAUUGGGCGUAAGCUCACUCUAUUCCGUUUGUUUUCCUUACAGGAAAUUGAAUACUUUUGGAAAGGCGAUGAAUAUGGAUUGCCGAGUUGAGCUUAUGUAUAUAUAUAUUUUGAAUAGCUCCUUUUGGGCAAAACCCUAAACUCAUUUUGACCCAACCC